CGCCGCCCUCACUUACCUGGGGUCAAGCUUUAUCUGGGUCCUGCCCGGCUCCAUCGCCGCGUUCUCUCCAGCAAUCCCGCAGGCACCGGGACUGAAAUCUCUUCGAAGCCAGACACAGCAUCUUGUACUGUGGUACGGUGGUACCUCUAGGUUCCUGGCACGCAGCCUGACACAUACGAAGGGCCCCUUAGAAUUUGGUUGCAUAGCUGAUGAAAGCAGCCAGCGUCUGUCAGCAUGUCUGGUGUGCCAGGGCCCGCAGGACAUGCAGUGUGUUCCUUAGCUUAUUUAAACUUUACCACCGCGUUACAAGGGAAGUAGUAUCCUUAUUCCCAUUUUACAGAUAAGGAGGCUGAGGUCCAGAGAGGCUAAGAAACCAGGUCAGACAGAAAGCUGUGGGGUGUGGAGAGCGGCCAAAGGGGCCUGGGGGAGGGGCUCUGUUGGGGCAUGGUGGAGAUGGAGGUAGUGAGAAGAGGGCCCAGGAGAGGGUGCAGAGGGUCAAUUCUGGGAAGGGAGAGGGGGCUUCCUGCGCUGGGCUGGUGAGGCCAUACAAGCAGUGGAAGCAGUCCCUGAUGGGGUACCCGGAGGACUCCCCACUCCUGUGCCCAGACACCUCAAAGUCUCUCCCAAGAGUCAAGCUGCAUCCCCCUCCAGCUUCCCCUCCUCCUAAAGUCCAGUUCCUGGGACAGGACAAUGUCGUGAGGCAGGCGUCUCAGGGGCCAGCUGCCUCCUAAGGUGGAGGUCAGGGAAGGAAGAGGCCUGCAAGGGCCCUGACCCCCAGAGGGUCACUGGCCUCAGCCCACCCUGACAAAGACGCAGACUGACUCAGCUUCCUCCCAGCAUCUCCGCAGGCACGUUCGCCAGGUCAUUCACCCCCAGCCCACUGAGAGGCCUUGGGUUUAAUUACCCAAAGCCCUGAACUUUAGACUUCCCAGAGCUGACAACAGGGCGCUGGGGAUGUUCUUAGAAACUUCAGGACACAGUGGGGAAUGGCAGGAAAGGACAGUGAAAGCAUUAAGAUAAGCAGCAUUCCACUGUAAAUCUUACACAAAAUGCCACAUCCACUGAUCACACGACCUUGAAAAAUGAAGAUAGGCAGCGUCGCACUUCCAAUCUUGUACUUCAGGGAAUGAACUCCAUUGCCUUUGUGUGCAGGAAGCCGGAAGCACGACCACUCUUUACCCUCGGCCUCAUUACAAGACCAAGACCUCUGCCUCGGCGCGGCAGCUCUCACCUGGAAUCCCAGCACUUUGGGAGGCCGAAGCGGACGGAUCACCUGAGGUGUCAGGAGUUUGAGACCAGCCUGGCCAACAAGGGACGCUCACCUACCUCAUGAAUUACGCGUGUCGCCCUCCUCGAGACGCCACAACGCAGUCCCCUGGGGAGCCAGCCGGAGACCUCUCCCUGCGGUGCUGUCUCCCCCGUGGUGGAACGGAAGCCCCUAAUAAAGCCUUGUCUGGGAAAUUUGCUUGGCCUCGUGUCAAUUUUUAUCGGAGCCUAAAGAACCUGUGGUCAGUAACACGAUCAUUUCAGUUAUCACUUAAGUUUUGGCUUCCUUAAUAUGAGAGUCAGUUUUGAAAAAUCAAAAAAGAGGCUGGGCGCCGUGGCUCA
rnacentral:lncRNA from 1 species